CGACCGGCGCACGGGUGAGUAACGCGUAUGCAACCUGCCCGUUUCAGCGGGAUAACCCGGAGAAAUCCGGCCUAAUACCGCAUGUGGCCGAGGGGAGGCAUCUUCUUUCGGCCAAAGGAGGCGACUCCGGAGACGGAUAGGCAUGCGUGACAUUAGCUAGUUGGCGGGGUAACGGCCCACCAAGGCGACGAUGUCUAGGGGUUCUGAGAGGAAGGUCCCCCACACUGGUACUGAGACACGGACCAGACUCCUACGGAAGGCAGCAG
rnacentral:rRNA from 1 species